UUGUUUUAUCAAAAACAUGUCCUCAUGAUUUUAUUUGAGGUUUGGCCUGCCCGGUGAUUUAUUUAACGGCCGCGGUAUUUUGACCGUGCAAAGGUAGCAUAAUCAUUAGUCUUUUAAUAGGAGGCUGGAAUGAAAGGUUUAACGAAAAAUUAGCUGUCUCGUUUAUAAAUUUGAAUUUAACUUUUAAGUUAAAAGGCUUAAAUUUUAUUGGAGGACGAGAAGACCCUAUAGAGCUUUACAUUUUGUUUAGGAUAGUAUAAUUUAGUUUAAUAAGUUUUUUUUAUUUUUGUAAUUGUUUUGUUGGGGUGACAAGAAAUAUAUGAUUAACUUUUAUUAUUUUAUAAACAUUAAUUUAUGUUUAUUGGAUCCAUAAUUUCUGAUCAUUAGAUUAAGUUACCUUAGGGAUAACAGCGUAAUCUUCCUUCAGAGUUCAAAUUUACAGGAAGGCUUGCGACCUCGAUGUUGGAUUAAGAUAAUAAUUAGGUGCAGCAGCUUAAUUAAUAGGUCUGUUCGACCCUU
rnacentral:rRNA from 1 species